UACCCGAGCAAUGCGUGGAUAAUAUUAAACUAUUUUUCUAAACUUUUCAAUACGGAAUGUCAUGUUCCAAUUUUACGAUUGUCUGAGAUAAAAUCAGACAAUCAUAAAUUGCAUACAAUUGAAUUAAAUAUAGAAAAAUUGUGAAAUAAAACAAUAUUUAAAAGAAAGAAGAAGAAGAAGAAUAUCAAACAGAAAUUUUAAAAAUUUAAACUUGUCAACUAUACCAACAAAACUGAAAACUCUACUCUGCACUUUUCUUUUAUUUUCUUCCUUUCGGUCUUCUUUGUCUGUUCUGCAAGUCAACAACAACAACAACAAAAUUAUCAUUAAAAAUUAGAAUAAACUCUCAAGAAGACUUCUUCAUAAAUUAAACAAUAAAAAUUGUAUUAAUUCAAAGUCCGUUUACCUGUAAAUACUUUGCUUACCAAAGUUUCAAUUAUUAUCGAUUUUUUUUCUCCUUAUCUUCUUGAAAUGUGUUACCAUUUGAAGUAAGAGGCGAAUAGAUGUAGACUUGUUCCUUUUUGUUUACAAUAACAGAGAAAGUUGAAGAUGAAGAAAUCAUAUCCUUCCU
rnacentral:lncRNA from 1 species